rnacentral:misc_RNA from 1 species
GUUUUUUUAACUGCUGUUGAUGCUGUUUUGUUUCCACUUUUUGCCACCCUCCUGGAGAGAUGCAGGGCAAAUUUCCUAUGCACAUGCAUGGCAGGCUUUAUAUUGCUUUUUUAUUUUUUUGGAGUGCUUGCCAGUCAAACAGAAAUCCCACUUUCCAUGAAUGGGAUGCUGAUAAAGUUAAGUGAGGAAAGUGCAUUUGCCCUGAUGAGUCUUCUUGGAGCGAAUAUUAUGCCUCAUAAUUUUUACCUCCAUUCAUC